GAUCCUGGCUCAGGAUGAACGCUGGCGGCGUGCCUAACACAUGCAAGUCGAACGGAGCUGUUUUGAUGAAGUUUUCGGAUGGAUUUAAAACAGCUUAGUGGCGGACGGGUGAGUAACGCGUGGGUAACCUGCCUCACACUGGGGGAUAACAGUUAGAAAUAGCUGCUAAUACCGCAUAANCGCACGGUUCCGCAUGGAACAGUGUGAAAAACUCCGGUGGUGUGAGAUGGACCCGCGUCUGAUUA
rnacentral:rRNA from 1 species